AUUGAACGCUGGCGGAAUGCUUUACACAUGCAAGUCGAACGGCAGCACGGGGCAACCUGGUGGCGAGUGGCGAACGGGUGAGUAAUACAUCGGAACGUGCCCAAUCGUGGGGGAUAACGUAGCGAAAGCUACGCUAAUACCGCAUACGAUCUACGGAUGAAAGCGGGGGAUCGCAAGACCUCGCGCGAAUGGAGCGGCCGAUGGCAGAUUAGGUAGUUGGUGGGGUAAAGGCUCACCAAGCCGACGAUCUGUAGCUGGUCUGAGAGGACGACCAGCCACACGGGGGCUGAGACACGGCCCAGACUCCUACGGGAGGCAGCAGUGGGGAAUUUUGGACAAUGGGCGCAAGCCUGAUCCAGCCAUUCCGCGUGCAGGAUGAAGGCCUUCGAGUUGUAAACUGCUUUUGUACGGAACGAAAAGGCUCUGGUUAAUAUCCACGACUGCUGACGGUACCUGAAGAAUAAGCACCGGCUAACUACGUGCCAGCAGCCGCAGUAACAC
rnacentral:rRNA from 1 species